rnacentral:lncRNA from 1 species
AAAAAUACCAGUACCAUCCCAGCCCUAAUGACAUACCAUAUGCAUGUCAGAAAAGGACCUUAAAGUAGUAGCUACAUGCCAAAGUAUAUAACAAAACAAUUAAUAGAAGAAAUUCGAAUGACCAAAAUAUGUCAGCCAAGCUUUGAAACUAAACCUUUUAAUUACAUGUCAAGUUCGUACUUUGUAGAUCAAAUUCCCAAAUAGAAUCAAGUACCGCCUAUCAAUUAC